rnacentral:lncRNA from 1 species
ACAGUAACCUUCAGCAUGCAUCAGUAUCUGUGGUUUAGAAACGAAAUUCCAGACAUGCAUCAAAUUCUCCAUCAUUUUAGCAUUUGGAUUGUCACCAAUCACAUAUCCAAUCAAUGCAUUUGCCCAGUAAUCCAUCGGAGGCUGAAAGUCCUCUACACUGAUUCUAACAACCCUCUGACCAUCUCGUUCGAUCGGAGGCACAAAUGAUAGCGACUUACCCAUU